rnacentral:rRNA from 1 species
GGGGGAUAGUGGCGAACGGGUGAGUAACACGUGAGUAACCUGCCCUUGACUCUGGGAUAAGCCUGGGAAACUGGGUCUAAUACCGGAUACGACCAUCUGACGCAUGUCAUGGUGGUGGAAAGCUUUUGUGGUUUUGGAUGGACUCGCGGCCUAUCAGCUUGUUGGUGGGGUAAUGGCCUACCAAGGCGACGACGGGUAGCCGGCCUGAGAGGGUGACCGGCCACACUGGGACUGAGACACGGCCCAGACUCCUACGGGAGGCAGCAGUGGGGAAUAUUGCACAAUGGGCGAAAGCCUGAUGCAGCGACGCCGCGUGAGGGAUGACGGCCUUCGGGUUGUAAACCUCUUUCAGUAGGGAAGAAGCGAAAGUGACGGUACCUGCAGAAGAAGCGCCGGCUAACUACGUGCCAGCAGCCGCGGUAAUACGUAGGGCGCAAGCGUUAUCCGGAAUUAUUGGGCGUAAAGAGCUCGUAGGCGGUUUGUCGCGUCUGCUGUGAAAGACCGGGGCUCAACUCCGGUUCUGCAGUGGGUACGGGCAGACUAGAGUGCAGUAGGGGAGACUGGAAUUCCUGGUGUAGCGGUGAAAUGCGCAGAUAUCAGGAGGAACACCGAUGGCGAAGGCAGGUCUCUGGGCUGUAACUGACGCUGAGGAGCGAAAGCAUGGGGAGCGAACAGGAUUAGAUACCCUGGUAGUCCAUGCCGUAAACGUUGGGCACUAGGUGUGGGGGACAUUCCACGUUUUCCGCGCCGUAGCUAACGCAUUAAGUGCCCCGCCUGGGGAGUACGGCCGCAAGGCUAAAACUCAAAGGAAUUGACGGGGGCCCGCACAAGCGGCGGAGCAUGCGGAUUAAUUCGAUGCAACGCGAAGAACCUUACCAAGGCUUGACAUGAACCGGAAAGACCUGGAAACAGGUGCCCCGCUUGCGGUCGGUUUACAGGUGGUGCAUGGUUGUCGUCAGCUCGUGUCGUGAGAUGUUGGGUUAAGUCCCGCAACGAGCGCAACCCUCGUUCUAUGUUGCCAGCGCGUUAUGGCGGGGACUCAUAGGAGACUGCCGGGGUCAACUCGGAGGAAGGUGGGGACGACGUCAAAUCAUCAUGCCCCUUAUGUCUUGGGCUUCACGCAUGCUACAAUGGCCGGUACAAAGGGUUGCGAUACUGUGAGGUGGAGCUAAUCCCAAAAAGCCGGUCUCAGUUCGGAUUGGGGUCUGCAACUCGACCCCAUGAAGUCGGAGUCGCUAGUAAUCGCAGAUCAGCAACGCUGCGGUGAAUACGUUCCCGGGCCUUGUACACACCGCCCGUCAAGUCACGAAAGUUGGUAACACCCG